rnacentral:rRNA from 1 species
CAGUCGCCGCGGUAAUACGAAGGGUGCAAGCGUUACUCGGAAUUACUGGGCGUAAAGCGUGCGUAGGUGGUGGUUUAAGUCCGUUGUGAAAGCCCUGGGCUCAACCUGGGAAUUGCAGUGGAUACUGGGUCACUAGAGUGUGGUAGAGGAUAGUGGAAUUUCCGGUGUAGCAGUGAAAUGCGUAGAGAUCGGAAGGAACAUCUGUGGCGAAGGCGACUAUCUGGGCCAACACUGACACUGAGGCACGAAAGCGUGGGGAGCAAACAGGAUUAGAUACCCCAGUAGUCCCUGUCUCUUAUAU